rnacentral:rRNA from 1 species
UACGUAGGGUGGCAAGCGUUGUCCGGAAUUAUUGGGCGUAAAGAGUUCGUAGGCGGUUUGUCGCGUCCGUUGUGAAAGCUUGGGGCUCAACCCCAAGUCUGCAGUGGAUAACGGGCAGACUAGAGUCAGGUAGGGGAGAACGGAAUUCCUGGAUGUAGCGGUGAAAUGACGCAGAUAUCAGGAGGAACACCAAUGGCGAAGGCAGCUCGCUGGGACGGUACUGACGCUGAGGCGCGAAAGCGUGGGGAGCAAACAGG